rnacentral:pre_miRNA from 14 species
UCUUCGGAGAUGAGGGUGGUCACUGAUCCCGGACAAGCCCCCAAAUGAAAGAUUCCCAGAGCGGGGAGACCCUCACUCAAGUCUCGGGAUGAUGUGACCCCCCCCAAGAACUCACGUGAGACC